GGGGUUUUAUGACCAAAAAAUGGCAAUUUUGGGGUUGGUUUUAUGUCCAAAAAUGGGAAUUUGGGGUCUUAUGACCAAAAAUUGGAGUUUUGAGUUGGUUUUAUGUCCAAAAAAUGGCAGUUUGGGGGUCUUAUGUCCAAAAAUUGGAGUUUUAGGUAGGUUUAAGUCCAAAAAUGGGAAUUUGGGGUUUUAUGUCCAAAAAUGGGGAAUUUGGGGUUUUAUGUCCAAAAAAUGGGAAUUUGUGGGGUUUUAUGACCAUAUUUAGGAUCCACCCCGUAUUUGGGGUCCCCUUUAUAUUUUAAGAAUCCCCCCCAUAUUUUGGGAUCCCCCCCAUAUUUCAGGCCCCCCCCCAUAUUUGGGGUCCCCUUUAUAUUUCAGAGCCCCCCCAU
rnacentral:lncRNA from 1 species